rnacentral:rRNA from 1 species
CGCCAGCAGCCGCGGUAAUACGUAGGUGGCGAGCGUUGUCCGGAAUUACUGGGUGUAAAGGGCGUGUAGGCGGGUUGGCAAGUCAGAUGUGAAAUCCCAUGGCUUAACUGUGGGGCUGCAUCUGAAACUGCUGAUCUUGAGUAUCGGAGAGGAAAGUGGAAUUCCCAGUGUAGCGGUGAAAUGCGUAGAUAUUGGGAGGAACACCAGUGGCGAAGGCGACUUUCUGGACGGUAACUGACGCUGAGGCGCGAAAGCGUGGGGAGCAAACAGGAUUAGAUACCCUGGUAGUCCACGCUGUAAACGAUGGAUACUAGGUGUAGGGGGUAUCGACCCCCCCUGUGCCGCAGUUAACACAAUAAGUAUCCCACCUGGGGAGUACGGCCGCAAGGUUGAAACUUAAAGGAAUUGGCGGGGGAC